CGUAGGCGGAACAGUAAGUUAGAGGUGAAAACCAUGGGCUUAACUCAUGGCCUGCCUUUAAAACUGCUGUUCUUGAGUGCGGUAGAGGGAAGUGGAAUUCCUGGUGUAGCGGUGAAAUGCGUAGAUAUCAGGAAGAACACCGGUAGCGAAGGCGGCUUCCUGGCCCGCAACUGACGCUGAGGCGCGAAAGCGUGGGGAGCAGACA
rnacentral:rRNA from 1 species